rnacentral:rRNA from 1 species
GACGAACGCUGGCGGCGUGCUUAACACAUGCAAGUCGAACGGAAAGGCUCCAGCUUGCUGGAGUACUCGAGUGGCGAACGGGUGAGUAACACGUGGGUAAUCUGCCCUGCACUCUGGGAUAAGCCUGGGAAACUGGGUCUAAUACUGGAUAUGACCUUUCUCCUUAUGGGGUUUGGUGGAAAGUUUUUCGGUGUAGGAUGAGCCCGCGGCCUAUCAGCUUGUUGGUGGGGUGAUGGCCUACCAAGGCGACGACGGGUAGCCGGCCUGAGAGGGUGGUCGGCCACAUUGGGACUGAGAUACGGCCCAGACUCCUACGGGAGGCAGCAGUGGGGAAUAUUGCACAAUGGGCGGAAGCCUGAUGCAGCGACGCCGCGUGAGGGAUGACGGCCUUCGGGUUGUAAACCUCUUUCAGCAGGGACGAAGCGUAAGUGACGGUACCUGCAGAAGAAGCACCGGCUAACUAUGUA